rnacentral:rRNA from 1 species
AUUGAACGCUGGCGGCAGGCCUAACACAUGCAAGUCGAGCGGAUGAAGGGAGCUUGCUCCUGGAUUCAGCGGCGGACGGGUGGGUAAUGCCUAGGAAUCUGCCUGGUAGUGGGGGAUAACGUCCGGAAACGGGCGCUAAUACCGCAUACGUCCUGAGGGAGAAAGUGGGGGAUCUUCGGACCUCACGCUAUCAGAUGAGCCUAGGUCGGAUUAGCUAGUUGGUGGGGUAAAGGCCUACCAAGGCGACGAUCCGUAACUGGUCUGAGAGGAUGAUCAGUCACACUGGAACUGAGACACGGUCCAGACUCCUACGGGAGGCAGCAGUGGGGAAUAUUGGACAAUGGGCGAAAGCCUGAUCCAGCCAUGCCGCGUGUGUGAAGAAGGUCUUCGGAUUGUAAAGCACUUUAAGUUGGGAGGAAGGGCAGUAAGUUAAUACCUUGCUGUUUUGACGUUACCAACAGAAUAAGCACCGGCUAACUUCGUA